CACAAAUGAACGAACGAACUCAUCGGUGGAACCGAAUCUACAAAAACGGCGCAAUUAUUAAAAAGAAAAGAUUAUUGGGAAGAGGGAUUUAUUGAGAAGAAGGAAUAUUGUUGAGAAGGAGAGAUUAUACUCCUGACAGCAGAUGCAUCGGAAACAAUCAAACAAUGCUAGUAAUAAAAUGCGCUUGGUUUUGCAAUAUUUCAUCAGUUCUUUACAAGAAAUAACAUGAACAAGUCAUCACUUCUACUUUUGCUUCUUAUCGGACUUCUCGUCCUCACUGAAACUACUACUACUGCACGUUUGUCUCGUCGUCGUCGUCGUUAUAACCAAGAGAAAAUGCCACAAAUGAACGAAAUUCCAGACCUGGAGUUCGAGGAUCUUGAGUCUUAUAUUAGGUUAUGAUGAGGUUUCCGCUCAAGCUGCAAAAGUACAAUUUUAAUAAAUUGAACAUCAGCAAAUA